CCCCUCUCAGGAUUGUACCUGGAGAGUUUCGAAUACUCUCCCGGUCUUGGCUACGAGACGGAAAGUCAAGCAGAGUCAUACUCAUUCCAUUCCUAGCUUGGGCAGUGGCUAGUGAGUGAAAGGCAAUCUGUUACACAU